ACAAUAUAACGAGUAUUUUAACAGCUAUGUGGCAUCCCCCUCUAUAACCAACAAAUUGCAACGAAUUUUCAAAGAAUCAUAUUCAGCGAGUAAAUUAUACCAUUUUUUCUUUAUAAAAACAACUUCCAAAAGUAAUACACGUGGAAAAAGAAACUCCAGAAAGAUAUUGAAAAUGAAUUUAAUAAAAGGCAGCUAAAUUCAUUCAGAAUGAAAAACACCACGUGUUUUUCUUAAAGUGAACAAAUAAAAAAUAUGGCGUCCUAUGGAGACUGAAAAUCUUUUAAGGUUAGCUUUCCGGUUUCAAAGGAUAUCGUCGACAAGAUGUUUAAAAAAAUUGUAAAAGUUAAUAAAAUGAAACCUAUAAUUUAAAGCAGAAUUUCUGCUUUUGAGGAGGAUGGUCCAGAAACUAUUGUGACUCCAUAUUUUAAAGCUAAAUUGCUGCUUUUGGAGAGAAUGGUCCAGAAACUACCACAAGAUGAUACUUUUUGUGGAAUAAAAAGUUGGCAAUAACUUUUCUUAAAAUAAACAUCAUGUUAUUCUAAAGAAAGAAGAAAAUAAAAUAUAUAUUUAUAAAAAAC